GGGAGUCUUGACCGCCGCCGGGCUCUUGGUACCUCAGCGCGAGCGCCGGGCGUCCGGCCGCCGUGGCUAUGUUCGUGUCCGAUUUCCGCAAAGAGUUCUACGAGGUGGUCCACAGCCAGAGGGUCCUUCUCUUCGUGGCCUCGGACGUGGAUGCUCUGUGUGCGUGCAAGAUCCUUCAGGCCUUGUUCCAAUGUGACCACGUGCAAUAUACGCUGGUUCCAGUUUCUGGGUGGCAAGAACUUGAAACUGCAUUUCUUGAGCAUAAAGAACAGUUUCAUUAUUUUAUUCUCAUAAACUGUGGAGCUAAUGUAGACCUAUUGGAUAUUCUUCAACCUGAUGAAGACACUAUAUUCUUUGUGUGUGACACCCAUAGGCCAGUCAAUGUCGUCAAUGUAUACAACGAUACCCAGAUCAAAUUACUCAUUAAACAAGAUGAUGACCUUGAAGUUCCCGCCUAUGAAGACAUCUUCAGGGAUGAAGAGGAGGAUGAAGAGCAUUUAGGAAAUGACAGCGAUGGGUCAGAGCCUUCUGAGAAGCGCACACGAUUAGAAGAGGAGAUAGUGGAGCGAACCAUGCGGAGGAGGCAGCGGCGAGAGUGGGAGGCCCGGAGUGGCUCUGGGAGUGAACCUGUGGCCGCUGCAUUGGAGAAGAGCUCCAGGUUGUUCCCCGGUCCCAUGAGUGACAGGACAGCCCCAAGGUCUCCCAGAAGAGA
rnacentral:sRNA from 1 species